AGCUCCAAUAGCGUAUAUUAAAGUUGUUGCAGUUAAAAAGCUCGUAGUUGAAUUUCUGGUGGGAGCGAUCGGUCCAUCCUUCACUGGUUGGAACCUGAUUGUCUCCCGCCAUCCAUGGAGAGAACUUAUCUGGCAUUAAGUUGUCGGGUUGGCAAUCUUCAUCUUUUACUGUGAAAAAAUUAGAGUGUUCAAAGCAGGCUUAUGCCGUUGAAUAUAUUAGCAUGGAAUAAUAAGAUAGGACUAUGGUACUAUUUUGUUGGUUUGUGCACCAUGGUAAUGAUUAAUAGGGACAGUUGGGGGUAUUCGUAUUCCAUUGUCAGAGGUGAAAUUCUUGGAUUUAUGGAAGACGAACUACUGCGAAAGCAUUUACCAAGGAUGUUUUCAUUA
rnacentral:rRNA from 1 species